rnacentral:rRNA from 1 species
UACGUAGGGUGCAAGCGUUGUCCGGAAUUAUUGGGCGUAAAGAGCUCGUAGGCGGUUUGUCGCGUCUGCUGUGAAAACUCGGGGCUUAACCCCGGGCCUGCAGUGGGUACGGGGCAGACUAGAGUGCGGUAGGGGAGACUGGAAUUCCUGGUGUAGCGGUGAAAUGCGCAGAUAUCGGGAGGAACACCAAUGGCGAAGGCAGCUCGCUGGGACGUUACUGACGCUGAGGCGCGAAAGCGUGGGGAGCAAACAGGG